rnacentral:rRNA from 1 species
GACGAACGCUGGCGGCGUGCCUAAUACAUGCAAGUCGAGCGGACCGAUCAGGAGCUUGCUCUUGUUCGGUUAGCGGCGGACGGGUGAGUAACACGUGGGUAACCUGCCCGUAAGACUGGGAUAACUCCGGGAAACCGGAGCUAAUACCGGAUAACACCGAAGACCGCAUGGUCUUUGGUUGAAAGGCGGCUUCGGCUGCCCUUUACGGUUGGGCCCGCGGCGCAUUAGCUAGUUGGUGAGGUAACGGCUAACCAAGGCGACGAUGCGUAGCCGGCCUGGAGGGGGGGCCCGCCCACACUGGACCUGGACCCGGCCCAGACCCCCACGGGAAGCCACAAGAGGGGAUCUUCCGCAAAGGACGGAAAGCCUACGGGACGACGCCGCGGGGGCUGAGAAGGGCUUCGGAUCGGAAAGCUCUUUUUAUUGGGAAGAAGAAGCUGCGUACGAACAGGUCGGCGUGUUGACGGUACCUAACGAGAAAGCCCCGGCUAACUACGUG